GGAACCGGAAGCAGGGAGGAGGACCGACAGAUGAACGGAUGACCUGCUUGCUGGGCUUCCUAUUACUAAUUCUUGAGACAUGAGGACCACUGACUGGUGAGGGAAUUGCCCUAUGAUGGAUGAGCCUGCCUCGAGCUGCCAUAAGCUGGGAGAACCGACGGUUGACUGACUCUGCCUGCUUGGUUGGCCAUCACCGAUUCUUGAGAAGAUGAGGACCGCCAAGCUUGGAUGAGACUGGAAAAUUACGAAGCUGCUCUAUCUGGACAAGGGUGCCCUCAUCAGACACUUUCCAAUUUGCGGAAUAUUGGAUCCAAAAUCAGACUGCAUAUUAUUUUGCAUUAUUAUAAAACAUAAAAACGACAAAAAUACGAAUUCUUACGCCAAAGUUACCGCUAUAAUUGGAAGAAAUAAUAGCUUAAAUCACUGUUACUUGUUAACUUUCCUGAGAUACCUAUACCUGAAAUAUUUGACAACGAAUAUGACGAAAAUUGAAGAAAAAAAUCAAAUGUGUGUAAAAACAUUGCAGUGAAAAUCAUAUCAAGAGCGGAUUUUCUUCUCACCCUCACAGAAAUGCUUCUCCGCUUCCAACAAGUGGCUGAGAAAAUGAUGAAAUUUACGCCGAAAAUAACUGAAAUCAGUGUUGUUUUUACCUUUACUGCGACACCUACCAGAAAUAUUUGACUAAACGCGUGUGACGAGUUAUAUGCAGUUUCCAAAGCAACCUGCCAUUAUCAGCGUCGGCACAUUAUGACAAAGUAAUCGUGUCUGUUUUAAAAAGGAAAUAAUGGAAACAUGGGUAGAAUCGUUUGGUUUCCAUUGGGUCCUACCCAUGACCUGGUUAUAGGUAGGCUUAGACAUAAUUAUUGGCUACAUUUACAAUGUUUCACUUUAGUAACAAAUGGGCUAGGCCCAGUGUUUUCGUACCCCUGUCCACUUAGGAAAGAGUUGCAGCUUUCAUCAAAGAAACUGAUGAUCUAAAAGUUGAGACCAACUGGAUGAGCUAGGCUGCUUUGUCUGGACGAAAAUCAACCCUCCAAGGCUCCACAGCCUCAUCACACGGAAACUCGAGGAACCGGAAGCAGGAAGGAGGACCGACAGAUGAACGGAUGACACGCUUGCUGGGCUUCCCAUUACUGAUUCUUGAAAGAAAUGAGGACCACUGACUGAUGAUGGAAUUGUCUUACUGAGAUGAAGAUGAGCCUGCCUCAAGCCAUCGUAAGCUGGGAGGACCGACGAUGGACUGACACCGCCUGCUGGCCUGGCCAUUACUGAUUCUUGAGGACAUGAGGACCACCAAGCUUGGACGAGACUGGACAAUGACGAAGCUGCUCUACUGGACAAGGAUGCCCUCAUCGGAAACUUGAGUUAAAAAACUAGCUUGCACAAUAUGAAAUGAUAAAUCAGACUGCAUAAUGCAACGUCAUUAAUGUUAUACACUAAGGCAACAACAAUAAAAUAAAAUGAAAAGUAAUUUUGAUUUCAUUAAAUUAUUUACCGGAUACUGCAACAGACAGUUAACAAUGGACAAUAAUGGAAACUUGCUGAAAAAUUAUUGUAAGGGUAAUAAUUUGUCACUGGCUUUUUUAGCAGUGCCAUGUCUGGGAGAAGGGAUGUUCCUUUGAUCUGUCCUGGGUCAUCCAAAAUUAUUGCAUCAAUAAGUUAAUAAUUUCAUACUCCUUACCUUUAAUGCAUUCAAUUGGAUCUUCUCGGUAAAUUAUAACCGAGGUCUCGCCUAAGGCUUUCUAUCUGCUUUUUGUUCAGUUGACAAUGGAGAAUUUUGCUCUAUAAAUUUUAUUUGAUAUUGAAAGUGCAUUUUUAAGAAAACCAAUUUAAGUCAUAAGAGUUUUGAAAGAUUUCAAAAAGGAUUAAUUUAUUGUUUAAAAACUGAAGAAAUGAAACAAACUUUAUUUAAUUUAACGAUUUUAACAAGACUUCGGUUUAACUAAAACGUGACUUUCUUUCCAUUGUAUAUUUAUUAGCAACACAAGAACGUUAAAUUUUUGGGAAAAUUUAAAGAAUAAACUGUUCUGGAACUUCUAUCCAUCAAAAUGCAUUGCAACAGGUACAAGUGACACUCAAAUUACAUUUGUGUUUGUCCUUUUGUGAUUAAUUUCAUUGCACUUUUUUUACUCGUUUUAUUUUUUACUUCGUAUGCACAAUUGUUUUUCUUGGUGGUUUUGCACGUCUUUUCACUUCCUCAUUAAUAAUUAACAAACCUCACAAAAGGAUAAACGCAAUGUAUAUCGAGUGUUGAACUUGCCUCGCAUCAAAUAUUUUUUUUCACAUAAUAGCUUAAUUAGACAAAACAUAGUCCUGAAAUGUUUCAAAAUAAUCUAGGAAUUUCUUUUGGAGGGGGGGAGGCAUUCCCAAGUUUUAUCUUCCCUUUUUAAAAUCUUAUUCACAAAAUGGCGAAAUACAAAAACCUGGCUUCACCGUGUACAGUCAUGUAGUCGUUGCUUAUGUAAUAAUCAUCUAUUAUAUUAUAAAGUGAUUAUUAAUUUCUCAAAUUUAUUGGCCUUCUGCCCAACUUUUUUCCUCAUUUGGAAUCUUUUGUAUUUGUUUGUAUGAAUUGGUUUAAAUAUUUGUAUGUCAAUAAGACUAAGGAAUUUAACAAAAUAAAUAAAACUUGAAAGAUGUGAGACAUAGUCUUGAUAUCCUU